GAAGCUGUUCAGCAGUCUGAUGGCUUGGGGGUAGAAGCUGUUCAUCGGUCUGAUGGCUUGGGGGUAGAAGCUGUUCAGCAGUCUGAUGGCUUGGGGGUAGAAGCUGUUCAGCAGUCUGAUGGCUUGGGGGUAGAAGCUGUUCAGCAGUCUGAUGGCUUGGGGGUAGAAGCUGUUCAGCAGUCUGAUGGCUUGGGGGUAGAAGCUGUUCAGCAGUCUGAUGGCUUGGGGGUAGAAGCUGUUCAGCAGACUGGUGGCUUGGGGGUAGAAGCUGUUCGGGAGCCUUUUGGUCCCACAUUUGGCACUCUGGUACCGUUCGUUGUGCAGUAGCAAAAUAACUGUCUAUAGCUUAGGUGGCUGGAGUCUGACACCGCCUGAUAUAGAGGUCCCAGUGAUGUACUGGGCCAUAUUCACUACCUUCUGUAGAAGAGCCAAGGACUCACAUUAUACUGUAGUCCUCAGAGAGAGAGAGAGAGAGAGAGAGAGAGAGACCUCUUCUGUUCUGUUCUGUUUGGGGGACGAGCUGUGUCAGUCUGCCCGCCUGAUGUUAAAGUGCUUAAGGCAGUAGGUCUAUGACUGCUACAUGUUAGGACGGCAGUAAUGUAGUCUAGACAGUCUUCUGGUAGGUCUAUGACUGCUACAUGUUAGGACGGCAGGAAUGUAGUCUAGACAGUCUUCUGGUAGGUCUAUGACUGCUACAUGUUAGGACGGCAGGAAUGUAGUCUAGACAGUCUUCUGGUAGGUCUACGACUGCUACAUGUUAGGACGGCAGUAAUGUAGUCUAGACAGUCUUCUGGUAGGUCUAUGACUGCUACAUGUUAGGACGGCAGUAAUGUAGUCUAGACAGUCUUCCGGUAGGUCUAUGACUGCUACAUGUUAGGACAGCAGUAAUGUAGUCUAGACAGUCUUCUGGUAGGUCUAUGACUGCUACAUGUUAGGACGGCAGUAAUGUAGUCCAGACAGUCUUCUGGUAGGUCUAUGACUGCUACAUGUUAGGACAGCAGUAAUGUAGUCCAGACAGUCUUC
rnacentral:lncRNA from 1 species